CGGGACACCUGCACCCAAAGCUGAUGGGGAGGGUGAAAUGUCCUCUGUCCUCCAGUUACUUGUUUAAAAAGACGACUUGCAAUUUCAGCCGCGAGUCUGAAACAUUUGUGAACACCCCUGGCAAGCGCGGCGGAUGAAAUCAGAUUGUUCCUGGUUAAAAAGAUAACUUUGCGAGAUGUGAUCUGAAGCUCUCUUGUUGGAAUAUGAACCUCUCUCUGAGCUGGGUAUGAAGAUGUUGCAUCUGAGUAAUAUACGAAACUAUGAGUGAGAUGAACUGCAUCAUUUGAACCUACUGGCUGCUCAGGCACUAAGACUGCUUUGCUUGAUUUUUUCCGUUACGUUUCCUGUUUAAUCAUUGGAUUGUGCCUAUUGUGGAUCUAACCUGGACCAUCUGUACUCUCCCAUGGGGGUGCCUUUAUAUCACAGCCCCUUAUCCCUAGAGACCUAUCUGUAAUUUCACACUAACUGGCAUUUAAGUACAAUUUGUUACAUGGAAACAGUACAAUACAGCAUCAGUUACACACAGCAUGUGGGUUUAACCCCCCCUUGAGCUACAGUGUAGAAAAUGAAGGUGAUUGCCUUUGGAAAUAAUCCACUGACUUCUCGCUUGGCUGCAUUUUUUGUCAUAGCCUUAGUAAGUCAGGUGAUAGACAUUGGCACAUUGUGGCAUUUAGCCAUUGUGUGUAUGUUGUUAUUAUCUUAGCCUUUAUGUAUAUGUUGUAAUUACCUUAGAAAAAUGUAUACAAUGUAUUUUUGCACACGUAUCAAUUUGACUACAUUUAUUUGCUUUACAGUUGUAUUUGCAUUUGCAAACUUUUGAUUUGGGUCAUAUGUUAAAGGGCAAUAGCAUGCCUUUCUAUUCUUCAUAAUGUGCUGCUAUUACAGAACAGUGGAAUUCUAUAAAACAAAUGUUAUUGUGACAGUUUUUUUAUCAGGAAGAAUUAAAUGCAAGUCACAUUAUGAUUUUCCAGCCAAACAGAAAGGCCUAGGAACACAGUGAAGAGGCGGUGGAAUUUAGGGCAAACAUUCCUUUUUAGUAGGAAUCUCAAUAACUUGGAUACAAAACAAUUCCAUAGUAGAAUGGAAAAUGCUUUAUUGAUUAGUAAUUUGAUUUCUCAAGCGAUUGAAGAAGUGCAUUUCCUGGAUUUUUAACAGACUACAUUUCUUCUAAUUCCUACAUAGUAUUCAUCUGUCUGGAAAAAAAGUGCAGUGUCCUGAUAUUAUCUCAUAAAUUUUAGCUUGCUCAUUUCCUCACACGAUACACACCAAUUACACCUAUUCAUCUGAAGAAAAUAUCUUGCGAACACUCGGUAGAUGGCGAGAACAUUUUAUAAAACAAAAAUAUAAACAAAAUCAAUAAAGAGCAAUGAAAUAAAAGAAACCCUACCCAGUUUUGAAUGCAGAAACAGCAGUACAAUGAGCUGUGAAAAACAAUUCAAAGUACAAUUUUUGUUUCUACCUUGUUUGUUUCAAAACAUUAGGUUCUGUGUUUCUUUUUUGUGUUUUGUUGCUGUUGUUGCUAAUUGUGGAUGUUUUACAAGGUUUUAGAAAUCCUGCAAAUCCCCCAUAAUCUUUCAUUCUGGCCUCUUUUUUACUGAAGAAAACAAAACCAGAGCAAAUAGAGUUUACAAUAGGCAUCAGUGAACUAAUCAAGCAUGGUUGGAUGUUGAGGUUAGAAGUCAAGUUGGCUUUUUCUCUCUGCACUAAUGAAUUUCCUUCUCAUUACUUGUUAUUUGACAGGGGACAGACAGUGGCACAAGACUGAUUUUAAAGUAAUCACUUCUGCUUUAAUACUUUCUGAGGCACUCACUGGAUAACACACAGUGAAGUCUACAUACAAUGUAAAGUAAACAUCCCCAUCAACUUCUUUUCCCACAUGCUGAAUGACUUUGUAUCCAAUAUUGUUUCAAUCAAAAUAGUGUUUGGUUUUACUGUUUCAUGGUUUUACUCUAUUUUUACCUGUAUAGGAGCAAUAUUUUCCUUCAUUUAGCCCAUUUUAAACAUUAUCGGUUGCUCUAAAUGGAUACUUGCCAAGCCUAUAUAAUAGAGUUCAGCUAGCUUAAGGGGCAUAAAAUGUACACUUUACAUGCCUCGUCCUCAGGGGCACCCCUAUCACCUGAUGCCACUACGAAUCCCCACCCCUGGCUUGUCUAUUCUCUCAAAUCUAAAAAAUUUAAAUUUGGCUAUUACCAUUACCAGGCUUGGCCUUUUGUUCCCCCCUGGUAAAAUGUCAUCGACAUUUAAAUCAUACCACUUAAACAAGAAGCAAAGUCUUUAUAUUGGGGGGGGGGGUGCCUAAUAUAUGGGAUGCAUAAGUAUAGAAACAUAUCCGCACACACUCUAGUUAAUGCAGUCGGGGAGUAUCUCAUUAAUGAGAAUUUUAGUUAUACGCGUUUUCAUCCCUGAGCUCCAAAUACACUCCUUCACGAAACCUUCGCUCUGCUUCUGAUCUCCGCCUCGUUUCUCCUCGCAUCACUUCUGGCCAUUCUUGUCUACAAGACUUCUCUCGGGCUUCUGCUUUUGUCUGGAACUCUCUGCCUUGAGCUGUCAGACUUUUUCCUUCUUUCUAAACUUUCAAGCGCUCCU